UGAACGCUGGCGGCAGGCCUAACACAUGCAAGUCGAACGGUAACAGGAAGCAGCUUGCUGCUUUGCUGACGAGUGGCGGACGGGUGAGUAAUGUCUGGGAAACUGCCCGAUGGAGGGGGAUAACUACUGGAAACGGUAGCUAAUACCGCAUAACGUCGCAAGACCAAAGAGGGGGACCUUAGGGCCUCUUGCCAUCGGAUGUGCCCAGAUGGGAUUAGCUAGUAGGUGGGGUAACGGCUCACCUAGGCGACGAUCCCUAGCUGGUCUGAGAGGAUGACCAGCCACACUGGAACUGAGACACGGUCCAGACUCCUACGGGAGGCAGCAGUGGGGAAUAUUGCACAAUGGGCGCAAGCCUGAUGCAGCCAUGCCGCGUGUAUGAAGAAGGCCUUCGGGUUGUAAAGUACUUUCAGCGGGGAGGAAGGGAGUGAAGUUAAUACCUUUGCUCAUUGACGUUACCCGCAGAAGAAGCACCGGCUAACUCCGUG
rnacentral:rRNA from 1 species